GACGAACGCUUCCUUCUUUCUUAACACAUGCAAGUCGAACGUAAAGGCCCUGCUUUUGUGGGGUGCUCGAGUGGCGAACGGGUGAGUAACACGUGAGUAACCUGCCCUUGACUUUGGGAUAACUUCAGGAAACUGGGGCUAAUACCGGAUAGGAGCUCCUGCUGCAUGGUGGGGGUUGGAAAGUUUCGGCGGUUGGGGAUGGACUCGCGGCUUAUCAGCUUGUUGGUGGGGUAGUGGCUUACCAAGGCUUUGACGGGUAGCCGGCCUGAGAGGGUGACCGGCCACAUUGGGACUGAGAUACGGCCCAGACUCCUACGGGAGGCAGCAGUGGGGAAUAUUGCACAAUGGGCGGAAGCCUGAUGCAGCAACGCCGCGUGCGGGAUGACGGCCUUCGGGUUGUAAACCGCUUUCGCCUGUGACGAAGCGUGAGUGACGGUAAUGGGUAAAGGAGCACCGGCUAACUACGUG
rnacentral:rRNA from 1 species